UACGUAGGCAGCGAGCGUUGUUCGGAAUUACUGGGCGUAAAGAGUGUGUAGGCGGUGCUCUAAGUUCGGUGUGAAAUCUCCUGGCUCAACUGGGAGGGUGCGCCGGAAACUGGAGUGCUUGAGCGUGGGAGAGGAAAGCGGAAUUCCUGGAUGUAGCGGUGAAAUGCGUAGAUAUCAGGAGGAACACCUGUGGUGUAGACGGCUUUCUGGACCAUAGCUGACGCUGAGACACGAAAGCGUGGGGAGCGAACCGG
rnacentral:rRNA from 1 species